UACGUAGGGUACGAGCGUUAAUCGGAAUUACUGGGCGUAAAGCGUGCGCAGGCGGUUUGUUAAGUCAGAUGUGAAAGCCCCGGGCUUAACCUGGGAAUUGCGUUUGAAACUGGCAAGCUAGAGUCUGUCAGAGGGGGGUAGAAUUCCACGUGUAGCAGUGAAAUGCGUAGAGAUGUGGAGGAAUACCGAUGGCGAAGGCAGCCCCCUGGGAUAAGACUGACGCUCAGGCACGAAAGCGUGGGGAGCAAACAGG
rnacentral:rRNA from 1 species